CGGACGGGUGAGUAAUGUCUGGGAAACUGCCUGAUGGAGGGGGGUAACUACUGGAAACGGUAGCUAAUACCGCAUAACGUCGCAAGACCAAAGAGGGGGACCUUCGGGCCUCUUGCCAUCGGAUGUGCCCAGAUGGGAUUAGCUAGUAGGUGGGGUAACGGCUCACCUAGGCGACGAUCCCUAGUUGGUCUGAGAGGAUGGCCAGCCACACUGGAACUGAGACACGGUCCAG
rnacentral:rRNA from 1 species